GGUGGGGGGCUGGAGGAGACAAUGCCGGGGGAGAGGCCCCUGCAAACCCGGGAGGGGUCAGAUAAACAACCAAGUGUGGAGAGGGAAGAGAAAGGAGAGUGGAGAGAAAGAUCCUUGAGGAUAAAACAGUUGGAAGGAGCAAUGAUUUAUCCUUCCAUUGGGGGGAAAUGGGGAGAAGGAGAGAGUAAAUUAAGAAGAGAGGAUGGGAGUAAUUUUACAGGUUGAUCCUGGAUUGAGAAGUUUCCAGCCUGGAAUGAUUACAAUUGAAAGAGGUUUUUUUCCUUAUUCUUCCUGCUGCCGACAUACCCACUGCUCUCUUUUAAAACAACAACAUUACCGGGCGCCUGGGCCGUUCAGUAAGUUAAGCGUCCAACUUCGGCUUAGGUCAUGAUCUCAUGAUUCAUGGGUUCGAGCCCGGCAUCAGGCUCUCACCCUCUCAAAAUAAAUAAAGAAACACUUAAAAUAUAAAAAAAAAU
rnacentral:lncRNA from 1 species